GGGGGUGUACCGGUUUCGACGGGGGUAUGGAGGCGGGAUCAGCGGGCGGCGGCGCCUGACCGCCAUAAAACGGGCAAUUUAUAAAUUAAAUAACAACAACACUGUUGCUGUUGCUGCCUAAUUAAAGGCAGCCGUCCGACCCGGAAGGACCGCGAGCCGGGGAGGGCGUCGUUUAGCGGUAAAUGUGCGUGCAGUAAGCUUUGCCUGCGCCACACAUCAUGAAGCUCACCUGACCUGAUGGCGUGACGGUUUGCCAUCUGGAAGGGGAACAGGGAGGAAGACUCCCACAAUAAUCGUCUGCGCCCGGAGAAAAUCCCGUUAAAGUGCUUUCGGACGGGGGUUCAACUCCCCCCACCUCCACCA
rnacentral:tmRNA from 1 species